GAGCCGGCGGCGGCGGCGGCGGGGCGGCCGCCGCCGCGUUUGCGUACGGGCGGCGGGAGGCCGGAGGAGGGGCCAGCCCCAAGUGGACGCACGACAAGUUCCGUGCCAGCGACGACGACGAUGACGACGACGAUGGCAGCAGCAGCGGAGGAGGAGGAGGAGGCCGUGGCAGAAAUGACGACGACGACGACGAUGGAGGAGGAGGAGGAGCAAGGGGAGGAGGAGGGGCGGGGAGUGCGCCUGGGGGCGACAAGAAGGGGCCAGCCACGCAGAGAGGAAAAGACGACAAGGAGUCGAUCGCCGGCGGCGCCGACAAAUGAGAGAGCGGAGAGAGCAGAGAGAGAGAGCGCGCGGAGGAGAGAGACGAGAAGAGAGAGAUGAGAGGGGGAGGUGGAGAGGGGUAGGGAGAGAGGGGGGGGUGGAGAGCAAUCAGCGCCGGACGAGCGCUCUGUGGUCUUUAAUCUCCCCGUUCCAUUUGCCCACCUGGGGUUUGGAACGCUGGCGAGCGUUGCCGCUGCCGCCGCCGGCUGUCUCCUCGACCGGCGUCCGACCGCUCAACGCCGGUCGGCAUGCGUGGCCCGGCCCUCGGGAGAGAGGAAAUUGGUGGCCGCCCACCGCUGUCUUUCCCCCCCCCCCCGAGAGGUGGUCGGGAGGGCCGGCUUUGUCUGUACGGUCGUGCCCGGCGGCCGUGUCUCUCAGCCGUAUCUGACGGCCAUGUCUAGCGGUCGCCAGACACGCCCACUAGACACGGCCACUAGACACGGCCACUAGACACGGCCACUAGACACGCCCACUAGACACGCCCACUAGACACGGCCGCUAGACACGCCCGCUAGACACGGCCACUAGACACGGUCACUAGACACGCCCGCUAGACACGGUCGCCAGACACGCCCACUAGACACGCCCACUAGACACGCCCACUAGACACGCCCACUAGACACGGCCACUAGACACGGCCGCUAGACACGGCCGCUAGACACGGCCACUAGACACGGCCACUAGACACGCCCGCUAGACACGCCCGCUAGACACGCCCGCUAGACACGCCCACUAGACACGCCCACUAGACACGGCCACUAGACACGCCCGCUAGACACGGCCACUAGACACGGUCACUAGACACGCCCGCUAGACACGGCCACUAGACACGCCCGCUAGACACGCCCGCUAGACACGGCCGCUAGACACGGUCACUAGACACGGCCACUAGACACGCCCGCUAGACACGGCCGCUAGACACGCCCGCUAGACCCGCCCGCUAGACACGCCCGCUAGACACGCCCGCUCGACACGGCCGCUAGACACGGUCACUAGACACGGUCUUUAGACACGGCCACUAGACACGCCCGCUAGACACGCCCGCUAGACACGGCCGCUAGACACGCCCGCUAGACCCGCCCGCUAGACACGCCCGCUAGACACGCCCGCUAGACACGGCCGCUAGACACGGCCACUAGACACGCCCGCUAGACACGCCCGCUAGACACGGCCGCUAGACACGCCCGCUAGACACGGCCGCUAGACACGGCCACUAGACACGGCCGCUAGACACGGCCGCUAGACACGGCCACUAGACACGGCCACUAGACACGGCCACUAGACACGCCCGCUCGGCACACCCCCUCCCCCCCCCUAUCGCCACCGGCGUCGCGGACGAGCAGAUUGAGGCGGCAGCGUGCGUGGGCGAGGUCUGCAGGGUGAGGUCGGUUCUCUGCAGCGUGGAGGUGAAGGCGAGAGACUUACAGACUUAGACUUAGACAGACUUUACACAGACUUUACACAGACUUUACACAGACUGAACACAGACUUAGACUUACUCAGACUUACACAGACUUACACAGACUGAUAGUCUUACACAGACUUAGACUUAGACAGAUUUUACACAGACUUUACACAGACUUAGACUUACUCAGACUUACACAGACUUACACAGACUUAGACUUCGACAGACUUUACACAGACUGAUAGUCUUACACAGACUUACAGACUUAGACUUACACAGACUUUACACAGACUUUACACAGACUUAGACAGACUUACAGACUUAGACAGACUUUACACAGACUUAGACAGACUUAUAGACUUAGACAAACAUUACACAGACUUAGGUUUAGACAGACUUUACACAGACUGAUAGUCUUACACAGGCUUACAGACUUAGACUUACACAGACUUUACACAGACUUUACACAGACUUAGACAGACUUACACAGACUUUACACAGACUUUACACAGACUUAGACAGACUUACACAGACUUACAGACUUACUCAUACUUACACAGACUUACAGACUUACACAGACUUAGACAGACUUUACACAGACUUACAGUCUUAGACUUAGACAGACUUUACAGACUUAGACUUAGACAGACUUUACACAGUCUUACACAGACUUACACAGACUGAUAUACUUACACAGAUUUAGACUUACAGACUUACACAGACUUACAGACUUACACAGACUUACGGACUUGCACAGACUGAUAGACUUACUCGGACUUACACAGACUUACACAGACUGAUAGACUUACACAGACUUACACAGACUUAGACUUACACAGACUUACAGACUUACACAGACUGAUAGACUUGCACAGACUUACAGACUUACACAGACUUACACAGUCUGAUCGACUUACACAGACUUACACAGACUUACAGACUUACACAGACUUAGACAGACUGAAAGUCUUACAGUCUUACACAGACUAACACAGACUUACAGACUUACACAGACUAACACAGACUUACACAGACUGAUAGACUGAUAGACUUAGACAGACUUACACAGAGUGAUAAACUUACAGAGUGCCCAACGUUGCAGUUACUCCUUACAGACCUCUGCCCGUUUCGCCCGCGCGCGCCGAGGAUUUCAGUCGACCACGAUUUUGUUUUCGGGGUCUCCGCGAAAGCGCGAGGAAAAGGGGGUGGUAAGUCCCUCUGUUCCCCUCGAAGCGUUGGCGCUCGUACGCCGCCUCCCGAAAGUAAACCACCGCCGCUCUCGGCGAGGUCUCCUACUGCGUGUGCCAUUAAGACACAGUGGUAAUGCGUUGGGGGGGGUCUCUUUGUUUAGCGGUAGGUCUCCAACGGAUGCCAGCCACGGCCAGCCAGACCCGGUGUCAAUUGCGAGUGUAAUGGCCUCGUAAACGGAAGCGCGCGCGCGUGAAUAGUAUGUUCCCGACGUUAAUUUGUGGUGGUGGUGUUGUUGCGAACGAGACGGCCGUGCGACGAUCGGCUGCGCCAGAAGUGGAUCUCCGAUAGGCACAACGAUCUCCGCCGCCCCCUUGCGGCGUCUGCCCAGCCUCCGACCUUCCCCCCACCCCCCGAUCAUCGUCAAGCCGAGACGAAAAGUCACAGUGAGGAGGAGUGGCCGAGCCGUCGGGAGAGAGAGAUGGAGAGGGGUGCGCUGAAGGCGGGCACGGUGGCUCGGACGCGUUUAUUUUUUGUUUUAUAUAUAUCCGUUAAUUUGCGAGUUCCCCUUUCUCUCGUGAUGUGUGUUGUGUAUAUAUAUGCACACGUACCAAAAAUGGCUGCACACACGAGGAUGAACAGAUUGAACGUACGAAUGGAAAGUGAAAGCCACUGGGGGUGGGGAGGGGGGGGGGAAUAAAUACGCACGCACAUCGUUUUAAGUGGACGAAGUUCCAGAGAGCUACGGUGUGUGGAACCUUAACACCCCCUGGGGUACAGUCGUCGAGAGAGUGGAUGUGGGGGGGGGGGGGGGGUCUGUCUUUGAUUCACGUCUUACUGAUAUUAUCGUGUUGGUAUUGUAAUUGUCCUUUGUUUUAUUCUGGUGGUUGGGGGGGGUGGUGGAAGGUUCGAUUAAAACCGUUCGGGGAAAAUUAUCGUUUGGGUCGCUGUAAUAAAUCCCUCUCUUGUCGCUGGCACCGGUAAGUUGUCUUCGGCGACGACCUGUCUGCCAACCCCCGCUCGCCCCAACUGCUUCCACUUUCGGAUGCUUUGCAAAGCCCCGAGUCCGGCUGGCUUGUAUCGGUGGGCAUCGGUGGGGACAGAGCAGUGGAAGUGACCCGCUCACCUUGUGUGUAAGUUGUUAGUCCACUCGCAGUGAACUAGCUGAGGUUUGGGCCAUCGACUUUGAUUGCUUCACGAUACGGCAUGCGAUACGGUGGUAGUCCGCUGCAGUUACUACAAAUCAAAUGUUAUCGAUGUUUAGUGAUAGGCCACGAAAGAGCCGAGUGUGUUUUUGUUAUUUUUUUACAUUCUCUGCACCGCGAUACCUUUUAAUUUGAGUUGUAGGAAAUUACAAGUUCCGACGAGGUAUACGAAGUUAUAUCUUGACACUAGUGCGCAUUAGCCCAGGUUUAAACAAAUGUUACUAAAUCAAUCCUCAGGGGAUCGGUUUCGUUAAUCUACACCGAUAUGCCCGGUCUGACGCCCUUUGGAACUAGUCUCUUGACGUCGCCUGACCUCCGGGACUUUGGGAAGAAAUAUUGCUCUGAAAAUUCUAAUUCCCGAGACCCGUUUUGGAGUUUUGUCCGUAUUGAAAACCGCCGAAGACUCCUCGACCAGUUUUAGGGUUCUCGCCGACAUACGGUUAAUGUUCAUUAUUCAGGUGUCAACCUCAACCGGUCUCUUUCAUCAGCAUCCACGUCACCAGUUACAAUCGUGUGCCCGUGGGAACUGUUGCGGUUGAGUAAGCGGAAAAAGAUGGGGGGUUUUAAAACAAAAAUUUGGACGGCUUAUUGCAGUGUCAUAUUCCGGGAACUCGGUGUCUUAACCACCGAGCUCGAGAGACCAGAACGCGAGUCUCGAUUUGCAAGAGUGAACCGAGGUCCGCCGCACUUAACCAUGGCAGAAAAAAAUAAAACUAAAACCACAGAAGUGAAGCAAAAUAGAAAUUGGCGCAAAACGCUACAGCAGUGCCAACAUCGGAAAGUCUAAAACAUUGCACGGGCAUGAAAUCGAUGUCGAACGUUCAUUUGGUCUCCGCGAAUCUUGGCCGAUGGUUGUGCGAUUUCGUUCCCUGCCUGACCAUCUGUGGGGCCCGGUUGACCCUCUUGUGAGCGAAUGAGUGGGUGAGGCGGCCGCGAGUUAAUUGACCAGCUCCGAGGAACCGUUUUUUUGCGUGGAUUUUUUUUCCCCUGCCGCCCGAGAAGCGCCGACAACAAAAAAAAUGACGCAAAAUCGCGGUGAAAUUUGUUUGUCCGUUGAGUUUGAGGCGGCAGCCUCCAUCCCGCCUGCUCCUGUUUCCGAUUUUUACGACCACGUGGCAGCCAUUUUUUCUUAUUCAAAAUGGCGCCCGCCACCAUCACCACCCCGCGUCACAACGACGCGCGUCACAACGACGCGCGUCUGUGUGAGUUUUUCUAAUUUGUCGUCCUGCUCCAAGGGCACCUUCCCGGUCGUCGCCGCCCGCGUCCAAGUUAACUUCUUUCCGAGUUGCAGUUCCAUUCUUGUUGUUGUUCAAAGCGACGAUCUCAAUGCAUCCGUCGUUCGCGGGUGGCUAGGAGAUGUCCACCGCCUCGUUCUGGUAGACCGGAGGUCGUUGGUUCAAUGCCGACCCUGCCGCCUGCCGUAUCCUUGGCGUUUGCGUGUUCCCUCCCUCUCGGUGUUUCCCAAGCAACGUUUCGAAUGGACAUCGCCACGCGUUCCGAAGGUUUUGUCCGCUGCCGUCAAUGUCCACGCAGUGAGGAUGGCGAAGCCACUUGGUCGGGCUGCUGUCAUUCGUGCUAGGCAGGUCGCUUCUGAAAAAGAGCUCGACUGUACGCGUAGCAGCUCAGCGGACGCGGUGGGGGGGGGGGCCCUAAUACCUGCUUGAAACGGAAUAACAAAACAAAAACGACUUCAAAAUUGCCACCGAGCGAAGCCCGGCCGCAUCGAGGCCCUGUCAAGAGCGGACACCGUGGCCGGGGGGGGGGGGGGGGGGGGAGCACCCUUCACGUCUUACCCCAAGAGACCCCCCCCCCUCUCUUUGUUUACCUGCCAGUGAUGUGACGUCUGUUUGGGGUUGUGAUGGGUGGGGGGGUGUAAUUCUGUAGUCGCUUCGUACGACGACGAUGGCCCACUUUGUUUUUAAAUAUUAAAAGCCUCCAUAUUGCGAA